rnacentral:rRNA from 1 species
CAUCUGGGGCAUGGGUAUUGGAGCAUGGCCCCGGGGCAGCAGAAGCACGUGAGCGGGCAGUGAGGGGGGCAUAGGGGCAUGCUGCCUGUGUGCACAGCAACAAGAUGGAGCAUGGGUAUUCGGCGUUGAACCGUCCUUCCGGGGCAUGGGUUCGAGCACGGUAAUGUGUACUAUUGAUGCUGCUGGUGGU